UGGCGGACGGGUGAGUAAUGUCUGGGAAACUGCCUGAUGGAGGGGGAUAACUACUGGAAACGGUAGCUAAUACCGCAUAACGUCGAAAGACCAAAGAGGGGGACCUUCGGGCCUCUUGCCAUCGGAUGUGCCCAGAUGGGAUUAGCUUGUUGGUGGGGUAAUGGCUCACCAAGGCGACGAUCCCUAGCUGGUCUGAGAGGAUGACCAGCCACACUGGAACUGAGGCACGGUCCAGACUCCUACGGGAGGCAGCAUG
rnacentral:rRNA from 1 species